rnacentral:rRNA from 1 species
UACGGAGGGUGCGAGCGUUAAUCGGAAUUACUGGGCGUAAAGCGUACGCAGGCGGUUUGUUAAGCGAGAUGUGAAAUCCCUGGGCUUAACCCAGGAACUGCAUUUCGAACUGAUCAACUAGAGUAUGAGAGAGGGUGGUAGAAUUUCAGGUGUAGCGGUGAAAUGCGUAGAGAUCUGAAGGAAUACCGAUGGCGAAGGCAGCCACCUGGGUCAACACUGACGCUCAUGUACGAAAGCGUGGGGAGCAAACAGG